UGCCGUCUCCAACUCCAUGCAGGGCUGAUCUCUUCUCCAGGGCCGGAUGUAGCCCUAACAAAGGGCCAAGGGUUUUUAUAUUUUUAAUUUCUAUUCUUGGAGUUGUAUAAACCUUAUUCUGCUUCUAAUGAAUAUUUUAUUUCAUCUCAUAUUUAAUUUCUGUGAUUUUAAAUAUGAAGUUUAUACAACUGCUCUUCAUGAUCAUUGAAGUAAAAAUAAGAUAGUUCAUGCUUAAGGAAGAUGCGA
rnacentral:lncRNA from 1 species